rnacentral:miRNA from 1 species
CUCGUGGGCGAGCUCGGCUCGGCCCACGAGCUUGUGUACUCACGAGCCACGAGCUCGUGGGCCGAGCCGAGCCGAGCCCACGAG